UCAAGGAUUACACAUUCCAAAGGAGCAUCCAUGCAGAUUUUACAACAAUCGCUCUCAUCUUUGUUGGAAACAUCACCUAAACAAAUCCAUUUGGAACAAUAAAAUAAACUGCAUUCCAGACACCUUAGCUUCCAGGUUAACAAUGUGAAGUCAGAUUUGCAUUUAGAACAAGGCAUUUUUAAAUUUUUAAAAUAUGAUCAAUAAACAAACUCUAUUCUAUACGUGAGGGGCUAGUCCUAGAUAUCGUCUUACACUGUAGGAUGUCACAGUGGUAGAAGGAAACGUAAAAAUGCCAUUUUUAUACUACAAAUAGAGAAUAUGUAUCUUACUGGGUAGUAUGAAAUAGAAACGUCCUGAGUACACUACAGGUUAACAAAAUCGGA